CCGAUAUAAACCGGGGCUACCGGAUCCUCCGACCCGGUGGGGUUAUUUUCGGGCAUGAUUAUUUUACUGCUGCAGACAAUAGAGGGGUUAGAAGAGCGCUUGACUUGUUUGCCCGAAUUCACAGUCUUAAGAUAUAGAUAUAUAUAUAUAGAUAUAUGUUUUUAGUGACAGGGGGACCGAGCGGGUUAGUACAAGCCCAUAGCCUCGCCCGUUAAAGUUGAUACUGUUGGGCGGGUAUCUGAGCUAGCGGAUGAACGCAGAGUGAAGACGUGGGUCCUGGAUCACAGAGGUGGUCCCAAGUUCAUUUUGUCUUAUUCACACUUGUAUUAUGUGUAUUUGUCUUAUACGCAUUGGAAUUUGGGCCUUGUAUGUAAGGCCCAAAUCCAAUAAUAUUCUAGAUAAGGACCACCCCUACUAUAAAAGGGGGGGUCCUCACUUUGUACUAGACACCUUUUUUAUCAUUAAUGAGAUUAUUCCCUUAUUCUUACAUCAUUCAUAUUCUCUUAGCUCUGCUAAGGUUUUAUUAUAAUACUUGAUAUCCAUUUAUUAACCUUAGACUAGAACAUUGGCGCCGUCUGUGACUCUAACUCAGCGGUUUUUCUUCCACUGACGUGAGAGAGGCAGAUUCAGUUUCAUGGAGACGCGUUCCUGUGGCGGACGUGCACCACGCCGCCGUGGUGGACGUAACAGUGGAGGUAGGAGUCAUGCUCAAGCAAUCAAGCUUGAACCAGAAGGGGAACAUGAGGCUUCCUCCGAUGGAGCUUCGGUGGCGGAGCCUGAGAACCCGGUGCAGCCAGCGGGUUUGGCGGCAAGGUCGGACUUGGGCCUUAAAACGAAGCUUCCAACUCCAGAUAACGAUGACUUGGGUGAUCAACAAGUAGAAACACCCAUUCAGGUGCAGGGUCAAGGAUUUGGAACACCCUCUACAGAACUCAGGCAGGUGUUGGACACCAUUCAUGCGGUGCAACGCCAAAAUGAGCAUUUUCAAGCUCGGGUUGAAUAUCUUAACUAAAUGAGGGACCUAAGACGCGGCCAACGCGUGGAUGCAGAGGAUGUGGUAGACUUUCAACCUUUCGCGCCCAUUGUGGCUGCGGUGGAGAUUCCAGAAUAUUUGCAGACUUUGACACUAGACUUGUAUGCGGGCGACGUCGACCCGAUAGACCAUUUGCGGUAUUUCAAUACUAAGAUGGUCAUUGGCGAGGCGACUGAUGCGGUAAAAUGUAGGUUAUUUCCUUCCACGUUUAAGGGAGUGGCGAUGACAUAGUUUAUCAAGCAGCCCCCGUAUUCUAUUUCAAAUUUCACAGACUUGUCAACAAAGUUCCUAACCCAAUUUUCAGCCAAUCAAACUCAAAAGGCGACCCCAACUGACCUGUUUAACAUACGUCAUCAGGUGGGUGAACGCAUUAAAACUUACAUGGCUCGAUUCAGUAGAGUUUCAGUCCAGUUGGAGGACGCCAGCCCGGAGGUGUGUGUGGCGGCCUUCAAAAACGGGCUCAGGUGUGGCUCACUAAACAAAGACUUAACCAGAAGGUCCGCCAAGGACAUGAUGGAUUUACGCGCCAGAGUGCAGGAAUUCAUCUUGGUAGAACAAGACGAACAAACAAAAAAGGAUAGAGAUAACUAGCGUAAUCAAUCUGAGUCAACGAUGGAAAGAGGGCGCGACUCAAAAGAUCAAUGGCCAACUCAAACGCCACGUCAACCUAGACCAGCGCCCUAUCAGUCGGGCAGGCAAGGACUACAGAGUAACACUUGGCAUAGAAAUGGCCAAACUACCCGAACAAAUCAGGCGACACAAGGAGGAAACACGCCCGUACAAGGGAAGCAAACAAAAUUGAACGCCCCUCUCAGCACGAUCUUGCGAGUAGUAGGGCAAACAAAUCUGGUCCAGUACCCACGACUACCCAAGCGAUCCUCAGCGAACGUGGAUACCACCAAGUGGUGUGACUUUCACAAAGCCAUGGGACAUGUAACACCCCGAUUUUCGGGUGCCACGGUAGUAACAUGUUAAAGUAAAUAUGCAAUCUUUUCCAAAAGGGAUUGUAUUUGGGGGAUUUGGGAAACUCGGAAUAGUUAGAAUUUGGGAACUUAUGGAACUUGGAUUUCAAUAAUAAACCUCAUAAUUUGAUUAACUUAACUUGAACUGCUUUGAUUAAUUAACGAGACCUUUAGGGAAACUUAAGAGUUGGAAAUGAUUGUGAAAAACGGGAAAUAGUCGACAAGCCUUGAGUUUGGAGUUUUGUGGUGUUUGCCACGAGGGAGAACCACGGUGACGAGAGAAAGUCACCGAGUACUUUUAGUACCCUUGCUCGUUGGAGCUUCUGUCGUGAAGUCGACAUUGUCAUGAGUUCUUGAGAAUUGGUGGACGCCACGGGGGUGAGCCACGGUGACGAGAGGAGGUCACCGUGUUCAUUGGUACUCUUGUUGUUGGAGUUUAUGUCGUAGGGUCGACAUUAAACCCUUGAGUUUUGAAAUUGAGAUUAAAGCUAAACACUUGUGUUGUGAGGAUGAUUCGAUGUUUGGCUAACCAUAUUGCAUAAUGCAUACAUUCGAGGUUGGGACGACCGAAAGAUCGGGCCUCGGUGAAGUUGGGACGGCUUCGGUCGGGCUUCACGAAGGUUGGGACAGUCGAAAGACUGGGCCUUCACGAAGAACACCAAGAGUGUAUCUUCGGCAUAGCGGGCGGAAAUGGUUAAACCUGGGGGGGGGUUAGGACUGAUCCGACUAUGCAUGGGUUUGUAAGUGACACCCGAGUGGAAAUGGUUAAACACUAGGCCGGUGUUAGGACUGACUCGAUGGUGCCCAUCCCAAUUGAACUAUCCGGAUCAUUUGAAACACAUUGCAAGCAUACAUGCACCCUAACUUGAACUGUGAGAUAUUGUUUAUUGAAUUGUUGAGAUAUUGUUUACUGAGCUGUUGAGAUAGCAGAUAUUGAAUUGUUGAUUAGGGCCUUGAUAACAUGCUAAGUAUAUACCUUAGGAUAGGCAACUGAGAACCUAUAUAAGUGUAUACCCCCCUUUUGUCGCAUGUUGAUUGUAUAUCUAUUGUAUACUGUGAGUCGACCCUCGCACCUUUGCUUUGGUUGUAUGUUUGUGUUUGGGCGGUCGGCCUGCUGCCAGACGACGAAAGGAGGUGAUGUGAGCAGAUGCUACUCCACGUGGAAGAACUAUAGAAGACUCGAAGAAUAGAGUCGGGUGUAGGGCUAGAGCCUUUGGGUAGAAAAGCUUACCGUUAUUGGUUUAAGCUAACAGGAUCAUUUUAUGAUUUGUAUUUGAGGUUUUGGGAAGGUUCCGAUGCAUUGCUUUCCUAUGGUUACCCCGUGUGGAAAUCAUAGGGAGUAUAUCGGAUCUAUGGAGUCAUUGCAUAGUGAGUCCGUUGUUGGAUCUUAUUUUAUUUGUCAUGUAUUUUAUGUUGUGCCUUGAUCGAGGCCAGAUGUAAAUUAUUUACGGUUGGGAGUAUGCAUUACAUAUUUUAGAAACACUUCGAAAAGGAAAAAAAAUAUACUCACAUUUAUAAAUCCCUUUUGGAAAAGAUUGCAUAUUUACUUUAACAUGUUACUACCGUGGCACCCGAAAAUUGGGGUGUUACAGGACACACAACAGAUAAUUGUUGGACCUUGCACAAAGAGAUCGAGCGAUUGAUUAAAGCUGGGCAUUUAGAAAACUUUGUAUCCAAUGAACACACGCAGGCCGAUGUAACCAAGGCCACUCGGGGCGGGGCCUCGAAAGGCAAGGAGAUAGUUGAUGAUUUGGGUAUACCUACUGGAUCAUCCUCAUCAAUCGCCGGAGGAUUCGGCGGUGGGUGUUUAUCUAGAAAAGGACGGAAAAGAUAUGUAGAGGCAGUGAAUUCUGUGCACAAAGCUUAUGAAGGGGAGUGUUGCUUGAAUCAUACUCCUAUUAUUUUCACACCUAGGGACUUUGAUCAUGUUACCCCACAUGACAAUGAUCCAAUGGUGGUGACUUUGCGGGUAAACAAUUAUGUCACUAAGAAGGUCUUUUUGGACCAAGGAAGUUCUGCGGACAUUAUAUAUGGUGAUGCAUUUGAGAGGUUGGGCAUAAAGGAAUCAGACUUAAAGCCAUACAUAGGGUGCCUGGUUGGAUUUACGGGCGGCCGAGCUCAGGUAAGAGGAUACGUGGAGUUAGCGACAACCUUUGGUGAGGGGGAGUUUGUGAAGAAAUUUCAAGUGAAGUAUUUGGUCCUCCCAUGCAAGGCGACAUAUAAUGUGCUUCUUGGGCGGGAUACUCUAAACAAAGUAUGUGCAAUAAUCUCGACUGCUCACCUAACAGUGAAAUACCCAGCUUGCAAUGGCAAGGUUGGAAUUUUGAGGGUAGAUCAAGAGGCGGCAAGAGAAUGUUAUGCUCAAAGUUUAGCGCUAUACGGCAAGAGGGCGCCCAAGGAAAGUCAUCGUGUUACUGAAAUCUUCCCAUAUGAAGAUUUCAGCUUGGAGCCUCGUGAUGAUUCAGAAGACUUGAGACCCCAGCCUGCUGAAGAGACAAGAUCCAUUCACGGGUCACGGCGGGCCUUGAAAAUUGGAAGCACCCUCUCAAAAGAACAAGAAGAUCGAUUGGUGGAGCUACUCAAAACAAUUUGGAUCUGUUCACUUGGACGAUCUAGGACGUUCCAGGUAUUGACCCCGACGUCAUAUCUCACAAGUUAUCCAUUCAACCAGGGUCAAAGCCCAUAGCGCAGGCUCGAAGGCGGAUGGGCGAGGAAAAAAAUAAAGUCGUGCGAGUAGAAACUCAGAAAUUACUCGAAGGGCGAUUUAUCAGAGAAGUUCAAUAUCUCACAUGGUUGACAAAUGUUGUCAUGGUACGAAAAGCAAAUGGAAAGUGGAGAAUGUGCACGGAUUAUACGAGCUUAAACAAAGUAUGCCCAAAAGACUUAUAUCCACUUCCAAAUGUGGACAAGUUGGUGGAUGGCGCUGUAAGACCAAGAUUUGGUCACGUAGUAAAACUCUAUGUUUUGAUGAUUACAUGAUAAUUAUUGUGUAUGAACAAUUAUGGUACUCUAACAUUGUUUUCUGAGUGUUUAAAUGACAGGCUCUGACUCUGGUAAAUACUCACAAUUAUCAGAAGCAUUUAGCCAAAGAGUAACCAACGCAACGCUUUCGCACUCACUAUGUUCUGAUUGAACAGUAGUAUAUGCUUCAGAAGUUCUGAAGAUGAUAAGCUCUGAUGUGGAUUCAGAUCACUUCAAGUUCUGAAGACCAGAAGCUCUGAAGGUCCAGAAGCUCUGAAGGUCCAGAAGCUAAGAAGUGAAGAUUCUGAAGUCCAAGAGUAAGCUGGCUCUGAAGACCAAGUACUUCCAACUCUGAUAUCCAGAAGCAGAAGAUACGAAGGUCAGAGGAUCCAAACUUCCCUCUGACUCUGAUCACCAAGCUUCACAAGUUCCAACAUGAAGCGUCGUAUGAUCAGAAGUCAACUAGGAUAAGGCUCACGUCGCUGUCCAAGUACAAAAGCAAUUGUACUAUCCUGACGACCUUACCGAAGAUUUUCAGCCACAGCAGAAUCUGGAAGUUCCGGAUUUGCCCUCCAACGGUAUCAUUUCAGACAGCAAAUACAACCCUAAUCCUUGGAGUAUAAAUAGAGGCUGAAGACUGAAGAAGCGGCUAAGAAACUUUGUACAAGAUUAAGCAACCAUUCAAUAUUCUCUUAGCAAUCUUUCUUCAAUAGUUCUUACUGUGUUUACCUUAGCUUUCUCAGAAGCACUCAUUGUAAACCCAAAACCCUCAAACAAUUAGUUUGAUUUCCUUAAGGGACCAAGGUUGGUCAGCUCCUUGAGAAGACUAAGAGAGUGAAUCUUAGUGUUUGCUAGUUCAUUGUAUUGUUAGUCACUGAGCAAGUUGCUAGUGCAGUUGUAACAAACAUUGAAUAAUGGAUUGCCUUCAUUCUAAGAAAGAAGAAAUCACCUUAACGGGUGGACUGGAUUAGCUUGAGCGAUUAUCAAGUGAACCAGGAUAAAAUACUUGUGUGCUUCUCUUCAUCUCUUAUCUUUGCACCUUGUGUUGUUUAUUUGAGAGAUUUAUCUAAAUCUCAAGAGGGAAAAAGUUUUUAGUUAAAAACGCUAUUCAAACCCCUCUUUCUAUCGUUUUUCAUACCUUCAAUUGGUCUCAAAGCGCAAGUUCUGAUUACCACACCUAACAAUGUUCAGUGAUUUGGGCCGGUGUGAAAAACUGUGAUGGCUACCACCAGUGAUGCGCAAAAGGAUGUUUACAGUGCAAAGCCUCCUAUCUUUGAUGGACACAAGUUCAAGUACUGGAAAGAUAGAAUCGAAAGCUUCUUUCUUGGCUUCGAUGCUGAUCUUUGGGAUAUUAUCAUGGAUGGCUAUACGCGUCCAGUUGACGCUGAUGGCAAAAAGCUUUCAAGAGAAAAUAUGACGGCUGAGGAGAAGAAGAAAUUCUCUGAACAUCACAAAGCUAAAACUAUUCUUCUCAAUGCUAUUUCUUUUGAAGAAUAUCAAAAGAUAGCAGAUCGUGAGUAUGCUAAGUCUAUCUUUGAUUCCUUAAAGAUGACUCAUGAAGGAAACAAAGAAGUGAAAGAGACAAAGGCGUUGUCUUUGAUCAGGAAGUACGAGGCUUUCCAGAUGGAACCUGGAGAGUUGAAGAUAUGUUUUCUAGAUUCCAGUUGAUUAUUGCUGGAAUAAGACCUCUCAACAAAAGCUAUACCACUGCUGAUCAUGUUAAGAGGAUUCUUAGAGGUCUUCCUGAAAACUGGGUACCCUUGAUAACUUCCUUGAAGUUCUCGAGAGAUCUUGACCAGUUGAGUUUGGAAGAACUCAUAACUAUGCUGAAGAGUAAUGAGUUAGAUCGUGAAGAGCAUUAGAUUCACAGGAAGAAGUCCAUAGCAUUGAAAUCUAAAUCUUAAAAGGCAAAUUCCCCGCAAUAUAGCAAUCAAGCCAAAUAAUAUGAUAUAAUUGUCCAUAGAAAUAUAUCAGGAACGGUCAAUUUGACCAGGUAUUCCAGCUGAAGUCAAGGCUCUCAAUCAGAUUUUGGAUUGUUCAAAGCCAUUAUUGGUAUAUCAAUUGAAUGAUAUGGCAAGAGAUAAUAACGGUAAAUUGUCAUUAUUUCACAUUCCCCCACUAAUGGCAAUUGAAUGAAGAAAUCUCAAUGAAGAAAGAAUAUUCUGAGGUAAGGAAGAAAGGAAAUUCUGGGCAAUAAAAAGGUUUGAGCUUAAGUGUUAAUGUCCAGAGGAUUGAAUUAACACAUAGUGAAGUGAGGCAAUGUCAAAAGUUCAAUAAGUGAAUUUCUUCUGAACUUAAUGUACUCGAGACAAGACCCCCACAACACACUCCUAACCUUCAAAUUCGCAAAGACUCCGCGAUAAUAUAAUUUCACAUUCAUAUUCGUAGGCCUGCCAUUCACCUUGGGUUGCUCAUGAGUGCUUUAGAAAGAUUGCCAAAGUCUUUCAUAGAAGGUGGCCUAAACCUUCACACUCACGUGGUAGAUACAUCAAGUGCGUCUCUAUGGCACCUCUCAAACAUUAGACAUGUAUCCAUUAACAGAUGUGCAGAUACAUCAAGUGCAUCUCAAUAGCACCACCCAAGAACUGGGCUAUGUAUAUGUUAUGAGCUCUCUAGAUACAUCAAGUGCGUCUCAACAGCACCACCCAAAUAUUGGGUUAUGUAUCAAAAGAAAAAACAGCUCAUAACCUCACAUCACGCACAACCGCACGCCAUAGAGAUGAGAUGUAGUGCAUUGGAGUCUUCGCAUGGCUUCGUUUGACCACAAAAUGAGUAUCCACUACACGUUCCUCCACUCAAGGCGCUCAUCCCCCUCAACGCAGUCAAGACAACUUUCUCACUACUCACAGAGUCAAGUGAGUGUGCACCAACUUUUGUUAAGUGCUCAACAACACCAUGUCUGAUGCCAAUGUGUCUCCUCUUGCCACUAUAGGCAUCAUUGUUUCCUGCACUAAUUGAACUUGUGAAUCACUAUGGAUAAGAACCCCCACACCGGUAAACUUGUCAUAAAAACAAUCCUCUAGAAGCAAAAUGAUUCACAAUCUCAAAAUUCAGCCGCAUAAUAAUCAGAUAAGUUCAUCAUAGAACCACCAUAUUCAGCAAGUAAAAGGCAUCAACCCGAGUUACAGAAAGAAAAUUAUCAGACUUAAAUGACAGAUCAAUAGAAAUCUCAAUAACAUCCUUUUUUUUGUGCAGCCUAUCUUAGUGCAGCAUGUAACUUCUGCGACAUUUGAUUAUAUUUAUAUUAUAGACCUAAACGUUACCCCCACAAUGAUGAAUUAACCAUUACUUUUUCAGACAUGCAACUUUGACCUGCAAAUUUAAAUUUAACUCCAUUGUUGACUUGGCUCCACACACUUAUUUUGCAUAUUUUUAAGACAACAAUGCACCACCUCCAAGUGUAAGCACGCUGCUUUGUGCAUACAGAAGGCGUUAAAUGAGGUCACACCAAAUACUUGUUUUACAGAGCUCUAUUUCACUUCUCAUAUCUGAAAUGCCCCAUUCUGAUUCAUAUUAUUGACUAUUAUUAUUACAUUAUUAUAUUAUUCUCAUUAUUUUAGUUUAACAAACAAAAGUAGUAAAACAAUGGAAUGAAUGGAUAACAACAAAAAAAAAAAGAAAAGAUUAGGAAAGAAAAGAAAAGAGACAGAGUGGUCACGUGAGUGACCAGAAGCAAGAAAGAAUAAAAAAAAAAAAGGAAAAGAGACCUUAGAUUGAUUAAAAAGGAAUUCAACUAUCAAUACCCAUUAUUUUUAUUUUUCCUCAAGACCUGACUUUUCUCACUCUUUCUCCCUCGUUUUUUCUUUCUUCACGCACAGUGCCUCUUCCUCUCUCUUUCUUGCCAAUUCUUUUCUUCUUCCCCAAAGACCACACCAAACCCCAUCAUAAAUUGCACCCUCAUGAAAGGAAAUUUCUGACAUUGAGUAAAAGAGAUCUUUGGAGUUGGUUUGCUCUGAGGGAGGAGAACACUCCUUCAAGGUUGCUGUUUUGGUUUCAUUGAGAUUGGCGUGGAGACACUUCUCUUAUUUCUACGGAGGGCUCUAGAAGAGAUUGAGCUUGGUCUUCAUAGUUGUUCUUUUGAGGAAUUUCCCGAAGAACAAGGAGUUGAUUGUGAAGGAUCGUUUGAAGAAAACCCUGGAGGAGCUACAGUAGCGUGAUCAGCACAAACAAUUUUAAAUUUUGCUUCCGAUUGUUGGAAUAUUAGAGUAGUUGAUGCUGUGCCGUGGCAAACCACUGACCAGAAGCAAAAUUUCCGGCGGACUCCGGUGCAAAUCCCAACUGCCGGUUUUGCUCCCCAAGAUUAACACAGCCACGAUCUGACCCGUGCACUCGAGGCAGGACGCGAUGGAGCCUUCACAAAAUAUUGCCCAGAAUAUGGAAAUGGAAGAAGUGUGAAGCUAGGAAGGUGAGAUCAAUACUCGAUUGUGCUCUCUUACUCUUGUUCAGCUUUUUCCUUUCUUGUAUAUAGACCAUGGAGAAGACAAAGCAAUUAAGCCUAAUAAUAUGAUAUAAUUGUCCAUAGCAAUAUAUCAGGAACGGUCAAUUUGACCAGGUAUUCAAGCUGGAGUCAAGGCUCUCAAUCAGAUUUUGGAUUGUUCAAAGCCAUUAUUGGUAUAUUAAUUGAAUGAUAUGACAAGAGAUAAUAAUGGUAAAUUGCCAUUAUUUCACAAUUCCUUCCCACUUGCAACAAUCUUCACCAUUCCAUGAGGAAAGAACUUUCCAUCCAUUAGUGAAACCACCUUUCAACCCAAGAAGAGCUUGCCCCUCUGACUCCACACACUUGUUUUUAUGGGAACUUUCAACAAAGAAACAGAUGCAUAGAAUUCCCACCACACUAAACAGACUGAACCUGCUGCACCCAAACAUGCUUCUGAGUGAAUCUGAGUUCAGCAAUUUUGAAAUGCAUCAAUAGAAAAAGUUUAAUGCAUGUUUGUUUUGGCGUUGAAGCAACGCAAACAUGAUUUUAUGUAUCUCAAAACAGUAACUAACUGGGAAGCUAAAUUUUGUCAUGUUAAUUGUGGAUCAGAAAAACAGGAUUUUGAUAUGUUGUCUUCAAUAUGAAUCCACGUUUAGUUCAACGAAAA